rnacentral:rRNA from 1 species
AGUGAACGCUGGCGGUAGGCCUAACACAUGCAAGUCGAACGGCAGCACAGUAAGAGCUUGCUCUUACGGGUGGCGAGUGGCGGACGGGUGGGGAAUACAUCGGAAUCUACUUUUUCGUGGGGGAUAACGUAGGGAAACUUACGCUAAUACCGCAUACGACCUACGGGUGAAAGCAGGGGAUCUUCGGACCUUGCGCGAUUGAAUGAGCCGAUGUCGGAUUAGCUAGUUGGCGGGGUAAAGGCCCACCAAGGCGACGAUCCGUAGCUGGUCUGAGAGGAUGAUCAGCCACACUGGAACUGAGACACGGUCCAGACUCCUACGGGAGGCAGCAGUGGGGAAUAUUGGACAAUGGGCGCAAGCCUGAUCCAGCCAUACCGCGUGUGUGAAGAAGGCCUUCGGGUUGUAAAGCCCUUUUGUUGGGAAAGAAAAGCAUCAGGUUAAUACCCCGCUGUUCUGACGGUACCCAAAGAAUAAGCACCGGCUAACUUCGUG